GAAGCUUGAUGCUGGUUGGAGCAAUUGGGAGAUGUGGGAGAUAAUUCUUGCUAAAUGUUCAAAUUAUAUAACUGUCCCCUGUCACAACGGAGUAAACUGCCUCUGAAAUGACAUACUUCAUAUAAUGUCGCUGACCUGGAAAACAUUUAGAGGACCUAAGUAGCUCCAGCACCACUGUCUGCAGGCUGAGAUCUGUCACGUGCUCGAGCCAGUUCAUCGAGAAUCUUGCGAAAACGGUGGAAACUGUUUUCUCAGGAGGGUUAGGGGGCUGACGCGAAAGAUUAUUCUAUUCAAAACACCGCUGCUGCUCCCCCCCACGCGGGAUGUGACUCGGAAAUCCGAUCCUUUCAUCCAACCCUAUGGGAAGUUUCCUUAAAGCCCGUGGCAUCUGCUGUGCGCGAGCUCUUAUUGUCCACAGGAGAGCAGCUGAUUCUGGAGCGUCGGGAAAAGUCCAGUUUCAAAUCCAUAGCCUAUAUUAUAUAACACACCGGAGAGCACCGAGAACAACGGGUCUCAAUCGCUUCUUAGUGCGAAAGAAGAUCGUGGGUGUCUGAAUCAAUGGCAAGAAAUUUCUUUAGGGAAAAAGGAACUUUUUUGAGGAGGAUGGACCCACCGAGAAAAGCCACUUGGUCCCCAGAAAAUGAGAUUACACAGAGAAGGGAGCACUCAUGCUGUUCUGGCCUAAAAGUAACUUGCUGGUUAUUGCCUUUGUCAGUUACUUUGGUGCCAAGCUUCAUCGACCAAAAAUCAUUGCCACUGGCUGUCUUCUGAUGUCACUGGGGACAUUCCUAAUUGCACUCCCUCACUUUAUUAUUGGACGAUAUAAGUUUGAAACAUCAGUUAGAUCUUCAGUGAACUCAACUUAUAACGUCACGCCAUGUCCAGCCAGUCCACCUAGAAUGCUGUCUGUGGGUAACCACCCCUCUACAGUGUUAAACACAGGUUGUGAGAAUGAGUCCAGGUUAUCCAUGUGGAUCUAUGUAUUACUGGGGAACAUCUUGCGUGGAAUUGGUGAAACUCCAGUACAGCCUUUGGGAAUUUCAUACAUAGAUGAUCAUGCUCUGGAGGACAAUGCUGCUUUCUACAUUGGGUUUGUUCAGACGAUAUCGGUCAUUGGCCCAGUGUUUGGCUACCUGCUUGGAUCUCUUUGUGCAAAGUUAUAUGUGGACAUUGGAUUUGUCAACAUAGAGAGUAUUACAAUCACACCAGGAGAUGCACGCUGGGUGGGCGCAUGGUGGCUGGGCUACCUCAUAGCAGGGCUCAUCACACUGUUGUCAGCUGUGCCUUUGUGGUUCAUGCCCAAGACUCUCCCUGUAUUAGAGGGUCAAUUGUCCAAGUGCUCCCCAGAGCAGACCAACUUUAUAAGAGACUCACAUGUUGUGCACCACAAAUGCCAGGCAGAUGAGGCCACCAGCUUUGUAGAGCUGGCCAAAGAUUUUAUGCCAACACUGAGAUCACUCCUGGGGAAUCCUGUCUACAUUUUGUACCUCUGUGUAACAAUCAUCCAGUUUAAUUCUUUGAUAGGCAUGGUCACAUAUAAGCCAAAAUAUAUAGAGCAACAUUACGGGCAGUCAGCAUCCAAAGCCAACUUUUUGAUGGGAAUGAUCAACAUCCCAGCUGUUGCCUUGGGUAUGUUCUCAGGGGGAGUGCUUAUGAAGAAAUUCAAGUUGGGAAUCAUGGGAGCUGCCAAGUUUGCACUGGGAACAUCUCUGUUGGGCUACUUCCUCUCUCUGUUCUUCUUUGCCUUGGGUUGUGAGAAUACCAAAGUGGCUGGUAUCACUGUGUCAUAUGAUGGGAUAGAGAAUACCUCCAUUGAGGAGAGCUCGCUAUUUGUGAGCUGUAAUGCAGACUGUCUGUGCUCAGACACUGAAUGGGACCCAGUGUGUGGUGAGAAUGGUCUCACGUAUGUCUCCGCGUGCCUGGCUGGGUGCCGGAUGUCUCGUGGCUCUGGCGUGGACAUGAUGUUUGAGCAGUGCAGCUGUGUGGCAGGUGGAAACCUAACCGCCUAUGUGGGGCAGUGUAGACAUAGGGAGAGCUGCCACCAAGUAUUCCCCUAUUUCCUGGCUUUGUCUGUCAUCACUUCCUUUAUCAUCUCCCUGGGUGGAACACCAGGAUACAUGCUACUAAUCAGAUGCAUCAAGCCAGAGCUGAAGUCCCUCGCUUUAGGAUUUCACACCCUGACAACACGCACUCUAGCUGGCAUCCCAGCUCCAAUAUACUUUGGAGCAGUCAUUGACACCACAUGUCUGAAAUGGGGCCAUAGGAAGUGUGGAGGAAAAGGAGCAUGUAGAAUCUACAACACUACUGCCUACAGGAUAGCAUAUCUGGGCCUAACGCUGGGCCUCAGGACAGCGUCCUUCUUCCUCUGUGCACUGGGUUUGCUGAUCUUACAGUGGCAUAUCAAAAGGCAGAAGACCAGAACAAUCUCUAAUGGAAGCACUGUCACAGAACUGCAAGCUCUGAGAAAAGAGGAAAUCAGCAACUCGGAUCAGUCCCCACGGACCUCAGAUUAUGACCCCGAGAAGGAGACACGCUUGUGACAAUGCUUUUAUUUGUUUGUAGAGCAUAAAAAUAAAAUCUACUGAACAAUGUGAAGUACAGGACAUUGAAAUUCUGACAUUGGAAUACGUCACUGAAUGUACAUGGUUGUAGGUAUAAAAAAAAAAGAAAAAAAAAAGAUUUCUUUAAUUAUCUCAAUGUUGUUUAUUGUGGAAAAGCUUACUUUUUAACAGGAAAGCAAAAAUCUUAUUUUUGUCUGUAUUUUUCUAAAUACUAAAUUUAAUAUACUGCCAUGUGAGUGUACUACUGGAAUGGUUCAAAUUAAAAUGCAAUCCAUUUUUUUUUUUUUUUACAAUAAUUUAGAGUGCUGUUAAUGGACAUUCAGAUGUUAUCAGUAAUUAGUUGUAUAUGUAUUUUGAGACAAGACAAUCAACCAUUUUAAAGUUACCAAUGCUGAGUAUUUAGUCUGAGUACAGAUCUAGAAUCUUGCCUGCAGAUAUCAGAGGCACUUAACAGAACAACUGUGUUUAUUUGUGCAUCAUGCACGCUUACAGUACAUGUUUGGGGUUUUUUCUGGGACAGCUUGCAUGAAGCUUGCAGUUGUAGCGGGUUCGCAGCAGCGACAGGCAGAGAACAGAUACACAGAGGCUACUGGAAGGGAAUUAGUGCCAGGUUUAUUAAACUAUUCACAAAAAAUACUAAAAAUAGAAAAGGGGAAGCAUGCAGGAACAUUGUGAAGGGCGUGCAGAUGGGCGCUGGUGAUCCCUCGUGCCAGCUAAGACUGGUCGCAAGAAGAGAGCUGUACAUCAUUACAGUGGUCGUCUUUAUCGCCACAGUUCUCUGGAAACAAUUCACGUUUGUAGGCCAAUAUCGCUCACCUUACUGCUCCCGGCGCACCCUUUUAUCCUCUUCCGUUGUCUCAUGCGUGGUUUGUACCACCUCGCCCCUCAGCCACGUGCUGAUCCUGUGCACACCACUAGGGGUGCUGAAAGGGAACAUUCCUUUCAGUCCCCCAGCGGCAGUCGUAUGAGGAGUGAUCUUCUUCUCUGGGGCACGUAGCUCCGGUCCAACAUCCAACAUCAGCCCGCCCCCACAAAGCGAUUUUUGUGAGUGCUGCCACCCACACCUUGCUUGGUGACUCUGUUGGCAUUCCGUGCUUCCACCUUGUAUCAGCUGCGUCAGAGUCAUAAAUCUCCCACUCAAAGGAAAGGAUUUUAUUGCAUGGAUUAAUGAGUCAGACCCAGUUCUCUGUGUUCCCUCUUUUCUGCUGUGCUCCAGACCUGUAUUCCCCGGAAAGACGCUGGGGUUUGAUAAUCUACAAACAAUUUUUUAAAUGUCCAAAAAAAAUUUACCUCUGACAUCUCUCUUCAUUCUCCAGGGAUCUGUCGAGCACAGUAACAAAUUGGUUAGUACAUGAGUAGCUUUUAACUCUUUGUGAAUACCUGUUCCAUUUUGAGCCCUCCUGCUGUGUCUCUUAUCUCUAUAUAGGAUGUCCUGAUGGGGGCCCAUUUUGGGAUGUUCAUCAUAGGUUCUACUACUCACGUACUUCAGAUCUUGGGGAAACGCACCAUCCUCUGCGCAUUUGCCUGUAGCCUUUGUGGCCCUUUACUCCUCAGCCGCUAAGGGCAGGAAAUCAUUCUUGGCCUCUGCCACUGCACUUGCUGAGGUCCCGGGGGCUUCCGUCAGCCAUGUUUCGGACUCUCCAAGGGUGGGUGCACAGGGUGGGUUCUCCAUGUGGCACGCCCAGUUGGCCAACAGGGGCUAUCCAGUGUGAGCAGCGGAUAGGGGUUCCGGGGGGGGAGCUUGUGACGUCCUGGGCCACACCAUCGAUAGGGUGGCUGUGGCUGGUCGUCUCCUCUCCAGUCAGUUGCUGUUCCGGAUGGUGAGGUGGAGGACUUCGGGGCGGGUGAGAAGUUCCAGUCUACAGGCUCCUUUUUGGGUCUCCGGCUGUUCUCCAGAGUCAGCAGAGGUUAAAACUCCAUAGUUGCCAUCUGUCCUUACCUCUUCGUACUGUUCUGGCACGAGGAUACCCGUCCUCUCCCUUUUUGGCUUUUCCUUUGUCCAGGCAGCCGGUUUGACAGACCUUUUCCAUUGUCUGUCUGGGCGAGUCUCUGGUGGGUGGGUUGAAUAACUCAACAGGGGCUGGAGAGGGGAGCAGCUUUGGCUCUGGUGAGUUUACUCUCCCAUGACGUUCUCAGCUCCAUGUACUUGUUUCUGGUGGGGGGUUCAUGUCUGUGCUCAAAGGCCGCAUUCUCCACCAGUGUGGCGGGUUUACAGCAGAGCACAGACAGACAGAGGCAACUGGAGGUGAAUUAGUGGCAGGUUUAUUAAACUAUUCACAAAAAAAUACUAAAAAUAGAAAAGGGGAAGUGUGCAGGAGCAUUGUGAAGGGAGUGCUAAUGGCGACUAGCGAUCCCUCAUCCCAACUGAGACUGGUCGCGAGGAGAGAGCUAUGCAGCAUUGCAGCGGGGGUUCUGAAAUGAGGAAAACAUUCACAGAGGAAACAGCAACAAUGGGCAACAGAUGGGAAGUCUUUCUUGGCCCAGUCCUCUAGAAACAAUUAAAAAAAAGAGACAGAGUUAACUAUUUUUAGACCAAUAUCAUUCACCUUGCUGCUCCCGGCGUGCCCUUUUAUGCUCUUCCGCUGCCUCUGUGAUGGUAGAGAGCCACCACUGCAAUCAGUGCUCACCAGACGUGCGUGGUUGGGACCGCCCCGCCUCUCAGCCACGCACUGAUUCUGUGCAAACCACUAGGGGUGCUGAAAGGGAACAUUCCUUUCAGCAUCCCAGCGGCAGUCCUAUGAGGAGCGACGUUCUUCUCUGGGGCGUGUAGCUCCAGUCUGACGUCACAUUGUUCAUUCCAUAGAAUGAACUACACACAGGAGCUCCUCGCAAGAUUUAUGACCAGGAACUCAGAAGAGUAGCCCAGGAGCCACGGACCACUCGGAAAGAGCUCCAGAAACACUUUUUGUCUGUCAUACUACACACCAUUUUUGAAGAAGAAAUAGCACUGCACAUCACCCUAAAAACACUACACCAGCAGUGAAGUUUGGAGAUGGAAGCAUCAUGGUGUGGGGCUGCUUUUCAUCAUAUGGUACUGGCAGACUUCAUAUAAUUGAAGGAACGAUGAAUGGAGCCCUUUACCGGGAGAUUGUUGAGAAGAAUCUGCUGCCAUCCACCAGAUGAUGAUGAAGAUGAGACAUGGGUGGACCUUCCAGCAGGACAACGGUCCAAAGCAUUGUGAGAGAAAUUGAAACACAUCAUGCUUUAAGUGAGGAGAGGUACAGCCAGAAAGACUGUGUCAAAGGAGGAGUUUAGAGAGGAUGUGGAACAAAGACUUUCAGUUGUGGUGGAGCUUAGAUUGCAGGUGAAGUUCUCUGUGUAAUAUUCAGGUUACCUCCCCACCCACACCUAUGGUCAUGAGCUGUGAGCAGUGACCGAAAGAAUAAUGUUGCUCUGUGUCAAUCGACUUAUCGCACGAUAUAUGGAAGUGAGCUCGAUCAUUUUUGGUGAUGCGAUAUAUUGCGAUUGAUCAUUUUUAAUAAUUGAAAAUAAUGAUUAUAUUCAUUUUUACAUAAAAAUUAAUGUCACCAGCAUUUUAGUCGAUCAUACCGCCUCUGUCAUCUCGUCUGUUUUCCGUGGUAGAGAUGAGGCUCAUGCAGAGUCUCCACACACACACACACACACACACACACACACACACACACACGCGCAGACAGGGACAGGUGUCCACUGCGUGAUGUAGGGUUUCAUGACAACUACAGCCAGUUAGGAAGAAUAAGUCCCAAUGGACUUGGUUUCAAAGCUGCAAUCUUCAGCUCCGGUGUGGGAACAUUUUGGCUGUAAGCCAAAUGAGAGCACAGAGUCAAUUAGCGUGAACGAUCCAGUAUAUCGACUUUGUUUAAAAAUAGUGGCAACGAAAAGAGGCAACACGACUAACCUAAAAUCUCACCUAAAACAUAACCAUCCCACCCAGUUUUUCAACUUGGGAACAACAACCGCAGCUGGAGGUGGAGAGCGGUCUUCCAGACAGUUAUCUGUUACAGAUGCCGUUUCCCGGCAGUGCAAAUAUAAACGUGACAGCGCGAAACGGCACACGCUCACAGAUUGCGUAACUCGCUAUAUAGCCAAAGAGAUGCAGCCAUUAAACACGGUCGAAAAACCAGCAUUUAAAAAUAUGCUGCAAACUUAUGACAAACAGUACGACUUGCCAAAGAAAACAUACAUCUCCCAAACUGCCAUUCCAUCCUUGUAUAACAAAGUAACAGACAACAUUCUGAAGGAGAUAUGACAUCUCCUUUUACUGCAAUUACAUAUAUGUGGUCAAGCUCAAAUACCACCCCAUACAUGAGCUUGACCACACACUACAUAACUGCUGACUGGACUCUGCAGUCAAAGUGUUUAGAGACCAGAUACAUACCCCAGAAGCACACUGCUGAUGUACUUGCUGAAGCCCUUCAGUCUGCUUUAGCAGACUGGGAAUUGGAUGAGCGCAAAAUGGCCUCUAUCACUACAGACAACGGUGCUAACAUUGUGGCUGGAAUACGCAAACUUGUCUGGCCAUGGCUCAAUUGCUUUGACCACAACCUCCAUUUGGCUGUUUCCCCUGGACUGUACAGUGACAAGGAUUGCACCAUGGGUGUGCCAUGGGACUUUAGGACUCCUGAGCUGUCUAAAGAAGAGAGACCUGAGAAAGGCACAGACUGAAACCAAUGUCUCCCAACACAAUCUAGUACUGGAUGUCGCCACACGAUGGGGCACCAAGCGAAAAAUGAUAGAGAGUGUGCUGGAGCAACUCCCAUCCAUAAAACAUGUCCUGGUUGAAGAUCGAAAACAUGGCCACCUCAACCCAACCAGACAGGAUGUUUCUGUGUUGGAAUCCAUUAACGCAACCAUGAAGCCAGUGGCUGAUUUCACGGAUGUCCUGUCAGGGGAAAAAUUUCACUGUGUCCUCAGUCAAACCUGUGCUGGGAUUACUUAAAGGCGAACUUUUAUCACCAGACCACACUGACGCUGCACUGACAGCAAACAUAAAGGCAAACAUGUGGGUAUUGACAGAGAAAUACAGCCCAUCUGAAAUCCAAAACCUUCUGACAAAGGCCACCAUCUUGGAUCCAAGAUAUCAUGGCACCAUGGAGGACGCGGAGAUCUUGGAUGAUGUCAAAGAAAAUCUCUUGCGAGAACUACUAGACAUGAACAAAGAACAAAAAAAAAAAAAGGAGGAAGUGCCAAUGGUGAGAGCUGCGUUAAAGCUGCAGGGGGAAAUGAAGGAUCUGAAGCUGAACCUCCAGCAAUCAAGAAGAAGAGGCUGUGUGAACUUCUCCAGAACAGAACCCAACUUACAAGGCACCAGACUCAGGCAUCGGUAACAAAAAGAGUGCAGGCUGAUGCGGAGCUGACCAAGUUCCUCCAGGAAGAAGCACUUGAUGCAUCAUCUGAUCCCUCGAUGUGGUGGUGUAAUAACCAUAGAAGAUUUCUUCUAAUAGCCAAGUUAUCACAAAAAUACUAGCUCAGAAAGAAUGUUUAGCACAGCUGGUAACAUUGUUACCCCAGAAAGAUCCUGCCUUAAUCCCCACAGGGUGAACAUGGUGUUCCUUUCCCAGAAUCUGCCUAACAAUUAAAAAUGGAUUUGGCAGAUUUGGCCUGUUGAGGCAUCUGUGCCUCUGUGUGAGACUUUAAAAGUCUAAACCGACUUUGUUAAACGUGUUACUUUGUUUUCUUCUAGUUCUUCUUACCUUACACUUUUUUUGUUAACAAAGGUGUAUUUAUUAUUUAUUUAUGUUUUAUGCAUUUAGGAUAUAUUUUUUGACAUUUUGAUUCCAAUGUUCUUAAGAAUUAAAAGUUCUUUGUUAUUUGAAAGAGUGUAUUUGCAUUAUUAUGCUAUUAUAUUGCCAUAUUGUCAUUAAAUAAUCAGCGGCAUCAAUCAAACGGUCUUAAAAUGACAAUAAUAUAGUUUAUCGCAAUGCAUUUUGGGACAGUAUGUCACACAGCUAAAGUAGUUAUCGUGACAGCUCUAGGCAUGUUGACAAUCUGGGACAGCCUCAGGGUACAGCCGCUGCUCCUCCGAAUUGAAGGGAAUCCCCACUAGAGCUGAAUCAGAUCUCCAGACAGACUCAGGACCUGCCUGAGAAAGUAUAUUUCACAGUUGACCUGUCUUCAUGUCUGACGAUUCCCCAGGAUUUAUGAUAUUAGUCCACAAAUGAAGUUCAGUCAUUUUAGUAAUCCGUUUUAAAAACUUAGUUCAUGUAAACAUCACAUCACUCUGUUUGUAGUUUAUCAGGAACAGUAAAAAAAAUAAUAA